AGGACGAACGCUGGCGGCGUGCUUAACACAUGCAAGUCGAGCGGUAAGGCCCUUUCGGGGGUACACGAGCGGCGAACGGGUGAGUAACACGUGGGUGACCUGCCCUUAGCUCUGGGAUAACCUCGGGAAACCGGGGCUAAUACCGGAUACGACCUCGAGCGGCAUCUCUUGAGGUGGAAAGCUCCGACGGUGAGGGAUGGGCCCGCGGCCUAUCAGCUUGUUGGUGGGGUAAUGGCCUACCAAGGCGACGACGGGUA
rnacentral:rRNA from 1 species